GUGAGGAAUAUUGGUCAAUGAGCGAGAGCCUGAACCAGCCAAGUCGCGUGAAGGAAGAAGGAUCUAUGGUUCGUAAACUUCUUUUGCAGGGGAAUAAAGUGCGGGACGUGUCCUGUUUUGUAUGUACCCUGAGAAUAAGGAUCGGCUAACUCCGUGCCAGCAGCCGCGGUAAUACGGAGGAUCCGAGCGUUAUCCGGAUUUAUUGGGUUUAAAGGGUGCGUAGGUGGUUUGAUAAGUCAGCGGUGAAAGUUUGCAGCUUAACUGUAAAAAUGCCGUUGAAACUGUCGGACUUGAGUGUAAAUGAGGUAGGCGGAAUGCGUGGUGUAGCGGUGAAAUGCAUAGAUAUCACGCAGAACUCCGAUUGCGAAGGCAGCUUACUAAGCUACAACUGACACUGAAGCACGAAAGCGUGGGGAUCAAACAGGAUUAGAUACCCCUGUAGUCC
rnacentral:rRNA from 1 species